UGGGGAAUAUUGCACAAUGGGCGCAAGCCUGAUGCAGCCAUGCCGCGUGUGUGAAGAAGGCCUUCGGGUUGUAAAGCACUUUCAGCGAGGAGGAAGGUGGUGAGCUUAAUACGCUCAUCAAUUGACGUUACUCGCAGAAGAAGCACCGGCUAACUCCGUGCCAGCAGCCGCGGUAAUACGGAGGGUGCAAGCGUUAAUCGGAAUUACUGGGCGUAAAGCGCACGCAGGCGGUUUGUUAAGUCAGAUGUGAAAUCCCCGGGCUCAACCUGGGAACUGCAUUUGAAACUGGCAAGCUAGAGUCUCGUAGAGGGGGGUAGAAUUCCAGGUGUAGCGGUGAAAUGCGUAGAGAUCUGGAGGAAUACCGGUGGCGAAGGCGGCCCCCUGGACGAAGACUGACGCUCAGGUGCGAAAGCGUGGGGCAGCAAACAGGAUUAGAUACCCUGGUAGUCCACGCUGUAAAACGAUGUCGAUUUUGGAGGUUGUGCCCCUUGAGGCGUGGNUUCCGGAGCUAACGCGUUAAAUCGACCGCC
rnacentral:rRNA from 1 species